GGCGUUUUGGCCGAGUGGUCUAAGGCGUUAGCUUCAGGUUCACAGCUUCUAGAAGCAAGUGUCCGCUAAUCCGAAAGGGCGUGGGUUCGAAUCCCACAGACGUCA